GUGCCAGCAGCCGCGGUAAUACAGGGGGGGCAAGCGUUGUUCGGAAUUACUGGGCGUAAAGGGUUCGUAGGUGGCUUACUAAGUCAAACGUGAAAUCCCUCAGCUUAACUGGGGAACUGCGUCUGAUACUGGAAAGCUUGAGUGCAGGGGAGGAACGCGGAAUUCCAGGUGUAGCGGUGAAAUGCGUAGAUAUCUGGAGGAACACCNGUGGCGAAGGCGGNGUUCUGGACUGCAACUGACACUGAUGAACGAAAGCCAGGGGGGCAAACG
rnacentral:rRNA from 1 species